CGUGUGUCCUCAACGGAAAAUUACCUGUUGGAAGGCGAGCAGAAACGCGGAGCAAUUGUUUUAAACCGAUUUAAAACAAUGUUGGAACUCUUAUCUCGGUUUGUCAGUCCUGUGAAAAUACUCAAUUACCGAAGACGCAUGGAUGCUAAAACAAGUUUUGAAGCUAAUUUUUGUCGAACACGAGUGAGACUGGCGGUGAACACACCUGCGGCGCAAAGGUGUCUCCACUUUGUCCACGAUCACAGAGAGUCUUUGUACAAUGAAGAAGUUCUUUGAGACCAGGACACAGGCCUCCAGGUGUCUCCACUUCGUCUUCGUACAGUGAAGAAGUUCUUUGAGACCAGGACUGAGGCCUCCAGGUGUCUCCACUUUGUCCACGAUCACAGAGAGUCUUCACACAAUGAAGAAGUUCUUUGAGACCAGGACACAGGCCUCCAGGUGUCUCCACUUUGUCCACGAUCACAGAGAGUCUUCACACAAUGAAGAAGUUCUUUGAGACCAGGACACAGGCCUCCAGGUGUCUCCACUUUGUCCACGAUCACAGAGAGUCUUCACACAAUGAAGAAGUUCUUUGAGACCAGGACACAGGCCUCCAGGUGUCUCCACUUUGUCCACGAUCACAGAGAGUCUUCACACAAUGAAGAAGUUCUUUGAGACCAGGACACAGGCCUCCAGGUGUCUCCACUUUGUCCACGAUCACAGAGAGUCUUCACACAAUGAAGAAGUUCUUUGAGACCAGGACACAGGCCUCCAGGUAAUUCA